rnacentral:rRNA from 1 species
GACGAACGCUGGCGGCGUGCUUAACACAUGCAAGUCGAACGGUAAGGCCCUUCGGGGUACACGAGUGGCGAACGGGUGAGUAACACGUGGGUGAUCUGCCCUGCACUUCGGGAUAAGCCUGGGAAACUGGGUCUAAUACCGGAUAGGACCCUGGGAUGCAUGUCCUGGGGUGGAAAGCUUUUGCGGUGUGGGAUGGGCCCGCGGCCUAUCAGCUUGUUGGGGGGGUGAUGGCCUACCAAGGCGACGACGGGUAGCCGGCCUGAGAGGGUGACCGGCCACACUGGGACGGAGAUACGGCCCAGACUCCUACGGGAGGCAGCAGUGGGGAAUAUUGCACAAUGGGCGCAAGCCUGAUGCAGCGACGCCGCGUGAGGGAUGACGGCCUUCGGGUUGUAAACCUCUUUCAGCACCGACGAAGCGCAAGUGACGGUAGGUGCAGAAGAAGGACCGGCCAACUACGUGCCAGCCGCCGCGGUAA